rnacentral:rRNA from 1 species
ACGAUCCUAGCUUGCUAGGAGGCGUCGAGCGGCGGACGGGUGAGUAAUGCAUAGGAAUCUGCCCGGUAGUGGGGGAUAACUUGGGGAAACUCAAGCUAAUACCGCAUACGCCCUACGGGGGAAAGCAGGGGAUCUUCGGACCUUGCGCUAUCGGAUGAGCCUAUGUCGGAUUAGCUAGUUGGUGAGGUAAUGGCUCACCAAGGCCGCGAUCCGUAGCUGGUCUGAGAGGAUGAUCAGCCACACUGGGACUGAGACACGGCCCAGACUCCUACGGGAGGCAGCAGUGGGGAAUAUUGGACAAUGGGCGAAAGCCUGAUCCAGCCAUGCCGCGUGUGUGAAGAAGGCCUUCGGGUUGUAAAGCACUUUCAGCGAGGAAGAAGGCUUUCGGGCUAAUACCCCGGAAGAAGGACAUCACUCGCAGAAGAAGCACCGGCUAACUCCGUGCCAGCAGCCGCGGUAAUACGGAGGGUGCGAGCGUUAAUCGGAAUUACUGGGCGCAAAGCGCGCGUAGGCGGCUUGGUAAGCCGGUUGUGAAAGCCCCGGGCUCAACCUGGGAACUGCAUCCGGAACUGUCAGGCUAGAGUGCAGGAGAGGAAGGUAGAAUUCCCGGUGUAGCGGUGAAAUGCGUAGAGAUCGGGAGGAAUACCAGUGGCGAAGGCGGCCUUCUGGACUGACACUGACGCUGAGGUGCGAAAGCGUGGGUAGCAAACAGGAUUAGAUACCCUGGUAGUCCACGCCGUAAACGAUGUCGACUAGCCGUUGGGAGCCUCGAGUUCUUAGUGGCGCAGUUAACGCAAUAAGUCGACCGCCUGGGAGUACGGCCGCAAGGUUAAAACUCAAAUGAAUUGACGGGGGCCCGCACAAGCGUUGGAGCAUGUGGUUUAAUUCGAUGCAACGCGAAGAAGCCUACCUACUCUUGACAUCGAGCGAACUUUCCAGAGAUGGAUUGGUGCCUUCG